UAGCCAAGUGGAUCAAGGCAGUGGAUUGUGGAUCCACCAUGCGCGGGUUCAAUUCCCG
rnacentral:tRNA from 1 species